rnacentral:snRNA from 9 species
UUGUUUGUCUGGUAGGGGAGACACCAUGGUCAUGGAAAGUGGGUUUUCUAGGGUGAAGCCAAUCCUUCGCACUCCAGAUGUGCUGAUCCUUGUGAUUUCCCAGGUGCUGAUCUCUGUAAUUUCCCAGGAACCUCAGCUGCAUCAUUUUUGGUAGGAAGAGACUGUCUGCACCCUUC